GAACGAUGGCUUUGGCUGGCUUAGCUUUUCGUAUGGUUUCUUUUCUUUCCUCGGAGCUGCCGAGCUGUACUACCAGUCCAGUGGAGUGUGGUAGCAGUACUUGGCGUGUUCUAUGGUUAAGCAUGCGUGUGCACGUACCGGAGAUACCUUUGCAGUAUACCCCGUACUAGUACUGUAGUCCAUAGUCCAUACCACCCCUCUUUAAAACCAAGCCAUCUUUGUGUGUGAAAAGGAGGAAUUAUGCUCAUUCGGGCUCGCCUGUUUAGAAAUCGAUCUCGAAAUGUUGCAUACUCAGAUGCAGAAUCCCAUGGAAUAUGGUUUCCUGCUGUACUUCCUAGACCAACUGAUGGCAUUACUUUACUCUGAUCAAUGUUCUUUCCCUGUAUCAAGAAGGUUUACUGCAACUUUCAAGUUCUUUGUCCUCAUCGAGCGUAUCAAAAAGACGACGGGCAGGCGUCGUAUUGGCCCGGUCCCCUAGAGCCUAAAAAAAAAACUCCACUCCAGUAGACGGCGUGCAUAUGUGUUCUCUUUCGGAGGGCAGGACA
rnacentral:lncRNA from 1 species